CACUCGAGAGUUAUCGUCCUUGGUCUCAGUCGUCCAAAGCACGUUGUCAGUUGCAGUCAUUGUUUCUGUAAGCUUUGAUCUUCGUGUUGUUGUUGCUGCUGUCGAGUCCGUAACCCUUGACAAUGAUGUCUGUGAGGCUAUUAAAUUCCAAGCCGAUGAUGCUCAAUGUGUUUCGAAGGACCUUCUCUCAAGUGUCAGGUCUUAAUGAUGUGAUAAUAGCCAGCUAUGUGAGGACACCCAUCAUUCCCUUCCUGGGUGCCAUGGCAUCGGUGCCUGCACCGAAACUGGGGUCAGUGGUCAUUACCGAAGCUCUGAAGAAAGCAGGUAUCAGCAGUGAAGAUGUGCAGGAGGUGUACAUGGGCAACGUAUUGCAAGCUGCAUCCGGACAGGCACCAACACGUCAAGCUCUCCUUGGAGCAGGUUUGCCCAUCUCAACUCCGGCCACAACCGUGAACAAAGUCUGUGCUUCUGGUAUGAAGUCUGUUAUGUUGGCUGCCCAGAGUUUAAUGUGUGGACACCAGGAUGUCAUGGUUGCUGGUGGAAUGGAAAGUAUGUCGAAUGUACCACUUUAUAUGCUACGAUCUGGCACUCCUUAUGGAGGGGUUAAGCUCAUAGAUGGAAUUGUUUUUGAUGGAUUAACUGAUGCCUAUGAUCACAUCCAUAUGGGAAACUGUGCUGAAGACACUGCUAAAAAAUAUGACAUCUCACGUACAGAGCAAGAUGAACAUGCUGUCAUGAGUUACAAACGUAGUCAGAAGGCUUUUCACGAGGGUGUCUUGGCAGCCGAAAUUACACCUGUUCAGAUACCAAAGAAAAAAGGAGAAGCAGUAACCAUAUCUGAAGAUGAAGAGUUACAUAAAAUGAAACUAGACAAAGUGCCCAGUCUCAGACCAGUGUUCCAAAAGGCAGAAGGUACCGUGACUGUAGCUAACUCCAGCAAAUUAGAUGAUGGUGCUGCUGCUAUGGUUCUCAUGACAGCACAGGCAGCCGACAGGUUAAAGGUGAAACCACUGGCUCGAAUUGUUGGUUUUGCUGAUGCUGCCAAGAACCCAAUUGAUUUCCCAACAGCCCCAGCUGUGGCCAUGGAGAAGCUUUUGGCUCAGUUUGGUAAGAAUGUAUCUGACAUAUCAAUGUGGGAAAUAAACGAAGCAUUCAGUGUGGUUGUAUUGGCCUGCAACAAAUUGAUGGGUCUUGAUCCGGCCAAAGUGAACAUUCAUGGUGGUGCCGUUAGUUUGGGCCACCCAAUCGGAAUGUCUGGAACCCGAAUCACAGGGAGGAUGGCAUUGAACCUGAAACCUGGAGAACUUGGAGUUGCUGGAAUCUGUAACGGUGGCGGUGGCGCUUCAGCCAUAAUGAUUGAAGGUCUUUAGACUGAACCUCAGCACUUAGGAUUGUGCUUAGUUGUAGGAGCAGAACGUUGACAACUUGGUGCUGCUGUUAUAUAUAUUUUUUUACAUAUCACCUUUUGUUGUGUCACCAGAUGACUCACAAAGCCUUCUCUUCAGACUGACUACCCAGCUCUUUCUGUCUCAUUACAACCACUAAGGGUGCCAUUUCUCCAACAAGCAAUGUCUUCCUACCCCACCCCCCAACAGUCCCAUAGUAUUAUUAUUAUCAACAUCAUUCCUUACUACCGCUAGCAUCUUGCUAUUUAGACAUAGAUAUAUAUUUUAUAAUUACACUACUAGUGUUCAGUUUGGGAGACAUUAGCUCAGUAUAGUUAAGCAUUAGUAGGAGAGAGAGAGAGCUGAUGUCCACUAUUUAGUUACUAGUCUAUUUGUUUUGAACUCUACUUCAGGUUGUGGGACACAGACACACAUACACAUGAAUGUGUAUAUAUUUUAUUAUUUUCUACACAUAAUACAGAUCAUUAUACAUACACAUGUGUAUGUUAAUUAUAUAUAUAUAUAUACAAUAAAAUAUGCUUCAACACAAGAAUUCACAUGAAUCUUGCAAACCAAAUACAAAAUCGAAAUAUAUGUAUAUAUGUGUUUGUAUAUAUAUAUACAUAUAUAUAUAACACAUGUCUAUCUCUAUAAAUCGCAUGAAGUAUGAAGAAGCAUUAUCAGGCAAACACUGGAAUGUUAAUGAAACGACUGUUUUGCUUUCCAUCGAGCUACAUGUUUGUCCAAUGUCUUUUCCCAUGCACUCUUUAUCUGAUAACAUAUUUGUGAAUAAAUAUAUAUCCAGUCUCAUUAUAUAUAUAUACACAGACAGAGGGUGCGGCAGAAGUAAGACCCUUUUGUAUUUGAUUUUUCCAGUUUCUAAUCGAGUUUCUUUUUAAUUUCCUAAAAUUUCUGCGAUUUUUUUCAUUCGUUUAUUAUUCAUUUCUUUAAUUAAUGCAAUAAAUUUGUGUUCAAUAAAAAAUUACUUAAUAAACAUCUAUAUACUAUAAAAGUUAUUAAAUGCAAAAAAAAAGCAUUACUUCUGCCGCACCGUGUGUGUAUAUAUAUAUAUAUAUAUAUACACACCUACAAUCAAGUUAGUUCUGAAUUUAUGAAAUCUGUGAUCCCUGUAAAAUAUUUAUGAAAUUUUGAUAUGUUAAA
rnacentral:misc_RNA from 1 species